rnacentral:lncRNA from 1 species
CCUCUACUAUUAUUACCUGUUGGAGCUGUUAUACUCAGGUGGGCGAUAUAGGACGAUCAUGGCUCUCUUGUCGUAUUAAACUGCUACAUAGCCAAAGAGAAACAAACAUUUAUAAGAAAAUAUUAAAAGGAAUAGAAUCUUUCUUUUUCUUUGAAUCCACAUAUAAUUAUGUAUGGAUAUUUCGAAUGUCCAAAAUGUAAAUGUCAGUGGGAGAGUGCGAAAGUAUUCUACAAGGACAAAAAGAAGGAUGUGUACUGGGGCCAAGAGUGUUAGAAAUGUAACGUGAUGUGUCAGCCUUACAGAGUAGAGGAGACGACGUGUUCUAAAUGUGGCGAAGUUGCACGCACAUGCAAGUGUGACAAGACCCGCCAUACCGAUCCUAACAAGCCUCAUAUGUCGGAUCUUUGCGAAAAAUGUCGAUCAGGAAAUACUUGUGAAUAAACUGGUCGUUGGUGAAAAAACAACUGUGAAUCUAAUAAUGACAAUUAGAGAACUGUGUAUGAUCAAAUUAAAACUUCCUCACAAAGGAUAGACAAAAGUGAUAUUUUAUAUAUAAAUAAGUAUAAUUAUAGAUAUUUAUUUUCAUGUACAUAAUUUCCUUACAAUAGAAAAAAUGUUUGAUAUUCUUAUUACAAAUAUUAAUUUUAAUGUACUAAGGAAAUAAGCCAAGGACCAGCUUAGAAAAAAAUCAUGAAGAAUUACAACUGUAUGCGUCAAUUAACUGACUGGUACAAAUGCUAUAACUAUAAGCUCGAGACAAUCAAGGCACGUGAGCAAAUGCCCCUACCCACACACAUUUUUGGAAAUUUCAAAAAGUUAAUGGCGACAUUUAAAAUAACCUGCCCAUUUAUACGCUGGACAUGAACUUUGAAUGAAAUGCUGUCAAUUUACAGUUACGUCAAAUGACAUGUUGUUUUACUAUUUUUCUCAGUUAUAUAUUACUUUAUAUAAUUGCUUUUGAUACAAUUUAAUCAAUUUUAUAUUAAUGUUCAAAGCCUGAAUGAAAGGUAAACAAAAACUUAAGAAAUUGGAAAGCUAUACGGAUAUAUUGCUUCAACAGAUUUGUACUGGCCGCUGAUUCACAGGAUCAGUUAUAAACACUGUUAACGGAAUGGCAAUUUCAUUCGGUUUUGUGUUUGUUCUCGUUGGGUUUAACUUCACACCGACACAAUUACUAGCCGUAUGGCAACUUUCCAGCUUUCCAUCCUGGAGGAAGACUCCAAAUGUUCCUUCGUGCAUUUUUUUCAGACGCUAGCGGGCACCUUGGUAGAACCUAUCCGUAAGCUAGCUAGAUAGUUUUCAUCAGGUUAAUUAUUGCUAAAUAUUGAUUCGCUCAACUUAGACUGCCUUUUGUGACAUUCAGUUUUAAGCCCAUUAUGGCGUAUUUAUUCAGUCCAUAGCGUUUUGUGCAUUCUGUUUAAGCACUUUGUAAAUAUUCAGUUGAGCUUUCUUUGAAGUUAGUUACAUGCAAAACCUUUUGGGACAUGUACGUAAGCAGUUGGAGCAUUCAGUUUUGCACAUUGAGGCGUAUAUAUUUAGGCAUUUCAGUUAACUAGACACUUUCACCUUUGCUUUUCUGGGACAUUUAACAGACUGCUGUCAGGUUAUUUGCUCGGUGACCGAUUGACCUCGUGGUGUCAACUUGGUGAGUGUGGGAACCAAGUGUAAUAAAUCAUGUCGCAUACUCUGUAAUUUGUAAUUCUUAUUGGAAUAAAAUGUAUUAAAUUUCA